rfam:Camelus ferus unplaced genomic scaffold scaffold1815, whole genome shotgun sequence.
GAGGGUGUAUCUCAGUGAUAGAGCACAGUGCUUAGCAUGCACAAGGUCCUGGGUUCAAUCCCCAGUACCUCCA